rnacentral:rRNA from 1 species
CCUACGGGAGGCAGCAGUGGGGAAUAUUGGACAAUGGGCGAAAGCCUGAUCCAGCAAUGCCGCGUGAGUGAUGAAGGCCUUAGGGUCGUAAAGCUCUUUUACCAGGGAUGAUAAUGACAGUACCUGGAGAAUAAGCUCCGGCUAACUCCGUGCCAGCAGCCGCGGUAAUACGGAGGGAGCUAGCGUUGUUCGGAAUUACUGGGCGUAAAGCGUACGUAGGCGGUUAUUCAAGUCAGAGGUGAAAGCCCGGGGCUCAACCCCGGAACGGCCUUUGAAACUAGAUAGCUAGAGUCUUGGAGAGGUCAGUGGAAUUCCGAGUGUAGAGGUGAAAUUCGUAGAUAUUCGGAAGAACACCAGUGGCGAAGGCGACUGACUGGACAAGUACUGACGCUGAGGUACGAAAGCGUGGGGAGCAAACAGGAUUAGAUACCCUGGUAGUCCACGCCGUAAACGAUGAUAACUAGCUGUCCGGGUACUUGGUAUCUGGGUGGCGCAGCUAACGCAUUAAGUUAUCCGCCUGGGGAGUACGGUCGCAAGAUUAAAACUUAAAGGAAAUUGACGG